rnacentral:rRNA from 1 species
UCAGGACGAACGCUGGCGGCGUGCCUAACACAUGCAAGUCGAGCGAGGAGAUCCUUCGGGAUGAUCCUAGCGGCGGACGGGUGAGUAACACGUGGGCAACCUGCCUCAUAGAGAGGAAUAGCCUUCCGAAAGGGAGAUUAAUACCUCAUAACAUUGCAGUUUCGCAUGGAACAGCAAUUAAAGGAGCAAUCCGCUAUGAGAUGGGCCCGCGGCGCAUUAGCUAGUUGGUGAGGUAACGGCUCACCAAGGCGACGAUGCGUAGCCGACCUGAGAGGGUGAUCGGCCACAUUGGGACUGAGACACGGCCCAGACUCCUACGGGAGGCAGCAGUGGGGAAUAUUGCACAAUGGGGGAAACCCUGAUGCAAGCAACGCCGCGUGAGUGAUGACGGCCUUCGGGUUGUAAAGCUCUGUCUUCAGGGACGAUAAUGACGGUACCUGAGGAGGAAGCCACGGCUAACUACGUGCCAGCAGCCGC